AGUUCAGUAAAGAUUUAUCCUAAUGUUGAUGUAAUCUUCCAUUUUUAUUGACUAUGUGUUUAACUUUUAUUUCUAAGUAGUCAUUUUUAUUUGCAUAAUUAUUUGCAGAAUCAAAAGUUUUCUGCAAAUUUGAUUCUGUUGGAUACAGAGGUGUAGAUUUGAAAUUUGAGACUGCUUAUGUCAGUUGCCUCCUUUCUGCAUUCUAUUUUGGGUUUGCCAACUUGUUAAUAAGAUGGAGGAGAAUACUGGCAAGGUUAAGCCUUUCAACCGAAAUGACGAACAGUUUCUGGAAGCUUUUGUCAUCUUUUGUGGCUUGGGGAUCCAGAACACGCAGAUGUAUGAAGCAGUGGAGAGAGCCAUGGCCAAGCAAAUGGUCACAUUGGAGGUUCUGUCGUAUCAUGCUUCAGCAGCAGAGGAAGAAACAAGAGAGCUACAGUCGUUAGCGGCUGCUGUGGUGCCAUCUGCCCAGACCCUUAAAAUUACUGACUUUAGCUUUAGUGACUUUGAGCUGUCUGAUCUGGAAACAGCACUGUGUACAAUUCGGAUGUUUACUGACCUCAACCUUGUGCAGAACUUCCAGAUGAAACAUGAGGUUCUUUGCAGAUGGAUUUUAAGUGUUAAGAAGAAUUAUCGGAAGAAUGUUGCCUAUCAUA
rnacentral:sRNA from 1 species